CCAAAACAAGCAUUAAGAACAAAGUAAAAUCAUUGAAACCAAUCAUAGAAACAAAGAUUCAUAUAUAUAGAUCAAAGUGAGUGCAUAAAGGUCAAAAGGCUACAACCAAUCCCAACAAAAAAAGAUUAGUUAAAAUGGAUAGCUUUAAAAUCAUGAAGAAGAAGAAGAAAGAAGAAUCCAAGACUUCGCGAUGUCUCGCCGUCGAAUCUGGCACCCAAGCUUCUACUUCAGCCUCCUAAGCUUUCUCCCUUGUUUCUCUCUCUAAAAGUGACUUAUUUCCCCUUCUAAAUGUGUUGCAUAUUGAAGAAGAUCUGAAAAAUCCAUUUUAAAGGGGUUCUAGCCACCCUACUUUGGCUUAGCAUCAGGUACAUUGCUAAGCCAAAGUGCAUUUCUUCAGAAGUGGUUUCAUUCCUUUGGCUUAGCACCAUCAUUCUUGCUAAGCCAAAAAUGCGUUCAAUUUCGUUCAGAAUGCACUGCCUUGUUUUGGCUUAGCAUCAGAUGCAAUGCUAAGCCAAAAUCUUAUUUUAUCAAUCAAUAUGCACUGCCUCAUUUUGGCUUAGCAUCAGGUGCAAUGCUAAGGCAAAAUCUUCUUUUUCUAAAUUCUUUCCUUUUAGUCCUUUGUUUCUUUCCUACAUCAACAAACAUAAAAUUAAACACAUAUUAUAGUUAUAAUUCAACAUAUUACAAAUAAAACUAUAUAUUUAUAAAUUCUAAACAAGGAGAUUAAAUUUGAUGAGAAAUCUACAGAAUUAACAAAGAUAAGUGCCUAAAUUGCUCAUUGAAACUAGGUAAAAUAUGCACUUAUCAACUUUGCAGUGUCUUAUUGUAUUGUUGAGGAUAAAUAUUUCGAUACUAAAGUUAACAUUAAACAUAUAUUCUUUUGGUUUCAAGCCAAUGGUCCAAAGCUUGGAACUCUAAAGAACUUUUGUGUGUAAUCGUUGAAUAACUUCUCAUAUAAAGAGGAACAUUCUGUUUAAUUUUAUUUUUCCAUUACUCCUUAACCAUUCAUUCAUUCACCUUAUAUUUGGGACCAG
rnacentral:lncRNA from 1 species